rnacentral:rRNA from 1 species
GAUCUUGGUUCAGGAUGAACGCUGGCGGCGUGCUUAACACAUGCAAGUCGAACGGAGUUAUUGGAAGCUUGCUUUGAAUAACUUAGUGGCGGACGGGUGAGUAACGCGUGGGUAACCUGCCUUAUACCGGGGGACAACAGUUGGAAACGACUGCUAAUACCGCAUAAGCGCACAAGAAGGCAUCUUCUAGUGUGAAAAACUCCGGUGGUAUAAGAUGGACCCGCGUCUGAUUAGCCAGUUGGCGGUGUAACGGACCACCAAAGCGACGAUCAGUAGCCGGCCUGAGAGGGCAAACGGCCACAUUGGGACUGAGACACGGCCCAAACUCCUACGGGAGGCAGCAGUGGGGAAUAUUGCACAAUGGAGGAAACUCUGAUGCAGCCGACGCCGCGUGAGUGAAGAAGUAUCUCGGUAUGUAAAGCUCUAUCAGCAGGAAAGAAAAUGACGGUACCUGACUAAGAAGCCCCGGCUAACUACGUGCCAGCCGCUGC